CUUUAACCAGUCCAUCACCAUAAUUUUAAAGUUUGCAAAACACAGCAGCAAUCAUAUAUAAUUGAAGUUGUAUUGGUAAAGAAGAAUUAUUAAUCAUUUAUUCAAGGUGAUGGAGCAUAACACUCAUGCCUAAAAUUCUGAAGGGAAGAUGAAAAAGCAAUAUAGCAAUCUCUCUUAAAAGCCAGCUUAUCAUUUAUACAGUACAAGGCACAGGAGUAAAAAUAAAGUGCUUAUGUUCAUUUCUGAAGGCACCA
rnacentral:lncRNA from 1 species